rnacentral:rRNA from 1 species
GCAUAUCAAUAAGCCGGAGGAAAAGAAACCAACCGGGAUUGCCUUAGUAACGGCGAGUGAAGCGGCAAAAGCUCAAAUUUGAAAUCUGGUACCUUCGGUGCCCGAGUUGUAAUUUGUAGAAGGUAACUUUGGGGCUGGUCCUUGUCUAUGUUCCUUGGAACAGGACGUCAUAGAGGGUGAGAAUCCCGUGUGGCGAGGAUCCCAGUUCUUUGUAAAGUGCUUUCGAAGAGUCGAGUUGUUUGGGAAUGCAGCUCUAAGUGGGUGGUAAAUUCCAUCUAAAGCUAAAUAUUGGCGAGAGACCGAUAGCGAACAAGUACAGUGAUGGAAAGAUGAAAAGAACUUUGAAAAGAGAGUGAAAAAGUACGUGAAAUUGUUGAAAGGGAAGGGCAUUUGAUCAGACAUGGUGUUUUGCGCCCUCUGCUCCUUGUGGGUGGGGGAAUCUCGCAGCUCACUGGGCCAGCAUCAGUUUUGGCGGCAGGAUAAAUCUGCAGGAAUGUAGCUUGCCUCGGUAAGUGUUAUAUCCUGUAGAAAUACUGCCAGCUGGGACUGAGGACUGCGACUUUACGUCAAGGAUGCUGGCAUAAUGGUUAUAUGCCGCCCGUCUUGAAACACGAACCAAUCACUAGUGAAUUCGCGGCCGCCUGCAGGUCGACCAUAUGGGAGAGCUCCCAACGCGUUGGAUGCAUAGCUUGAGUAUUCUAUAGUGUCACCUAAAUAGCUUGGCGUAAUCAUGGUCAUAGCUGUUUCCUGUGUGAAAUUGUUAUCCGCUCACAAUUCCACACAACAUACGAGCCGGAAGCAUAAAGUGUAAAGCCUGGGGUGCCUAAUGAGUGAGCUAACUCACAUUAAUUGCGUUGCGCUCACUGCCCGCUUUCCAGUCGGGAAACCUGUCGUGCCAGCUGCAUUAAUGAAUCGGCCAACGCGCGGG